GGGGGGGGGGGGGGGCGGGCCUGGGGCAUGCAGGUCGGGCGGACAGACGAGGGGCUUGCUCCUCUGACGUUAGCGGCGGACGGGUGAGUCCCACGUGGUGAACCUACCUCUACGACUGGGCUCCCUUCGCCCCCCCGGAUCUCCUCCCCGAUAAUAUAUUGACCCGCCUUGUUCCCUCGUUUCAUUCGUUUUUUCUUUCACUUAUCGCUGCAUCCGCGCCGCAUUAGCUAGUUGGUCUGGUAACGGCUUCCCACGGCGACCAUGCGUAGCCGACCUGAGAGGGUGAUCGGACACAAUGGAACUGAGACAGGGUCCAGACUCCGACGGGAGGCAGCAGUAGGGAAUCUUCCGCAAUGGGCGAAAGCCUGACGGAGCAACGCCGCGUGAGGGAUGAAGGUCUUCGGAUCGUAAAACUCUGUUAUUAGGGAAGAACAAAUGUGUAAGUAACUAUGCACGUCUUGACGGUACCUAAUCAGAAAGCCACGGCUAACUACGUG
rnacentral:rRNA from 1 species